GACGAACGCUGGCGGCGUGCCUAAUACAUGCAAGUAGAACGCUGAAGGAGGAGCUUGCUCUUCUGGAUGAGUUGCGAACGGGUGAGUAACGCGUAGGUAACCUGCCUGGUAGCGGGGGAUAACUAUUGGAAACGAUAGCUAAUACCGCAUAACAGUAGAUGUUGCAUGACAUUUACUUAAAAGGUGCAAUUGCAUCACUACCAGAUGGACCUGCGUUGUAUUAGCUAGUUGGUGGGGUAACGGCUCACCAAGGCGACGAUACAUAGCCGACCUGAGAGGGUGAUCGGCCACACUGGGACUGAGACACGGCCCAGACUUCUACGGGAGGCAGCAGUAGGGAAUCUUCGGCAAUGGACGGAAGUCUGACCGAGCAACGCCGCGUGAGUGAAGAAGGUUUUCGGAUCGUAAAGCUCUGUUGUAAGAGAAGAACGAGUGUGAGAGUGGAAAGUUCACACUGUGACGGUAUCUUACCAGAAAGGGACGGCUAACUACGUG
rnacentral:rRNA from 1 species